rnacentral:rRNA from 1 species
GUGGAUAACCUACCUAUAAGACUGGGAUAACUUCGGGAAACCGGAGCUAAUACCGGAUAAUAUAUUGAACCGCAUGGUUCAAUAGUGAAAGACGGUUUUGCUGUCACUUAUAGAUGGAUCCGCGCCGCAUUAGCUAGUUGGUAAGGUAACGGCUUACCAAGGCAACGAUGCGUAGCCGACCUGAGAGGGUGAUCGGCCACACUGGAACUGAGACACGGUCCAGACUCCUACGGGAGGCAGCAGUAGGGAAUCUUCCGCAAUGGGCGAAAGCCUGACGGAGCAACGCCGCGUGAGUGAUGAAGGUCUUCGGAUCGUAAAACUCUGUUAUUAGGGAAGAACAAAUGUGUAAGUAACUAUGCACAUCUUGACGGUACCUAAUCAGAAAGCCACGGCUAACUACGUGCCAGCAGCCGCGGUAAUACGUAGGUGGCAAGCGUUAUC